ACAUCUUCCAUUUCCUUUGAAGAAAGAAUUUUCUCCAUCACAAAAGAGAAAAUGCACUACAAUUAUCUGAGAUAAUGGGAAAAGCUGAAAUGUGGCUCAUUCGAAACUACUGGUAUUUGGAAUUUCCUCGCCCACUCUUACCUAAUUUUGAAUUUGUUGUAAGACUCUACUGCAAACCUGUCAACCCCCUGCCUAAGCGUCGGAACUGUGAGAUGCCUACUUCAAGCUGGCUCCUUGACUCUUCCACACACUUCGAUUGACCCUCGGGAACUGAGUACAGUGAAAGCUCAUCAACCUUCAUGGGAUUUUGAGGAGGUGGAAAUACAGUUUUCCCAGCACCAUUUAUUGGAGACUAUACUUUCCCCUUUGCGUCCACUUGGUGCCUUGGUCGAAAUUUAGUUGACCAUGUAUGUUUGCAUUUAUUUCUUUGCUCUCUAUUCUCUUCCAUUAGUCCAUGUUUCUGUUUUUUACCAGUGUAAUUCUGUUUAUUAUACCUUCGUAACAUAACUUUAAAUCAGGAAGUAUGAUGCCCCCAACUUUAUCUUUCUCAGUAUUUCUUUAGCUCUUCAGUUUGUGCGUGUGUGUCUGUCUGUGUAUGUGUGGUUCCAUAGAAAUUUUAGAAUUUUUGUUUCUAUUUCUGUAAAAAAUGCCAUUAAACUUUCGGUACAGAUAGUGUUGAAUCCAUGUAUUGCACUGUGUAGUAUGGACAUUUAAAAAAUAUUAAUCCCAUGAAUAAAUAAGA
rnacentral:lncRNA from 1 species